rnacentral:rRNA from 1 species
CGAAGGGAGCUAGCGUUGUUCGGAAUUACUGGGCGUAAAGCGCGCGUAGGUGGUCAUGCAAGUCAGGGGUGAAAUCCCACGGCUCAACCGUGGAAUUGCCUUUGAAACUGCAUGGCUUGAGUUCGGAAGAGGAGAGUGGAAUUCCUAAUGUAGAGGUGAAAUUCGUAGAUAUUAGGAGGAACACCAGUGGCGAAGGCGGCUCUCUGGUCCGACACUGACACUAAGGCGCGAAAGCGUGGGUAGCAAACAGGAUUAGAUACCCUGGUAGUCCACGCCGUAAACGAUGGAUGCUAGCCGUUGGGACUUACGUCUCAGUGGCGCAGCUAACGCGUUAAGCAUCCCGCCUGGGGAGUACGGUCGCAAGAUUA